AAGUUUGUGCAGAGGCGAUACCAUGGCCAAUGAAAUAAAUCCGAGGCGUGGUUAUUGCUAGUUGAAAAUUUAUAUAUAUAUUCAAACGUAAGAUCCAAGGAUCAAAGUGUAGGAAGUUGGAAGCUUCGACGAAUCCAUUGAAG
rnacentral:snRNA from 1 species